rnacentral:rRNA from 1 species
CCUACGGGUGGCAGCAGUGGGGAAUAUUGCACAAUGGGGGAAACCCUGAUGCAGCGACGCCGCGUGAGUGAAGAAGUAUUUCGGUACGUAAAGCCCUAUCAGCAGGGAAGAAAAUGACGGUACCUGACUAAGAAGCACCGGCUAAGUACGUUCCAGCAGCCGCGGUAAUACGUAGGGGGCAAGCGUUAUCCGGAUUUACUGGGUGUAAAGGGAGGGUAGACGGCAACGCAAGUCUGAAGUGAAAUCCCAUGGGUUAACCAUGGAACUGCUUUGGAAACUGUGCAGCUGGAGUGCAGGGGAGGUAAGCGGAAUGCCUAGUGUAGCGGUGAAAUGCGUAGAUAUUAGGAGGAACACCAGUGGCGAAGGCGGCUUACUGGACUUUAACUGACGUUGAGGCUCGAAAGCGUGGGGAGCAAACAGGAUUAGAUACCCUUGUAGUC